rnacentral:rRNA from 1 species
UACGAAGGGUGCAAGCGUUAAUCGGAAUUACUGGGCGUAAAGCGUGCGUAGGCGGUUUGUUAAGUCUGUUGUGAAAUCCCCGGGCUCAACCUGGGAAUGGCAAUGGAUACUGGCAGGCUAGAGUGUGUCAGAGGAUGGUGGAAUUCCCGGUGUAGCGGUGAAAUGCGUAGAGAUCGGGAGGAACACCGGUGGCGAAGGCGGCAUCCUGGACCGGCAUUGACGCUGAGGAGCGAAAGCCAGGGGAGCAAACGGG